rnacentral:rRNA from 1 species
AGAGUUUGAUCCUGGCUCAGAUUGAACGCUGGCGGCAGGCCUAACACAUGCAAGUCGAGCGGAUGAGUGGAGCUUGCUCCAUGAUUCAGCGGCGGACGGGUGAGUAAUGCCUAGGAAUCUGCCUGGUAGUGGGGGACAACGUUUCGAAAGGAACGCUAAUACCGCAUACGUCCUACGGGAGAAAGCAGGGGACCUUCGGGCCUUGCGCUAUCAGAUGAGCCUAGGUCGGAUUAGCUAGUUGGUGAGGUAAAGGCUCACCAAGGCGACGAUCCGUAACUGGUCUGAGAGGAUGAUCAGUCACACUGGAACUGAGACACGGUCCAGACUCCUACGGGAGGCAGCAGUGGGGAAUAUUGGACAAUGGGCGAAAGCCUGAUCCAGCCAUGCCGCGUGUGUGAAGAAGGUCUUCGGAUUGUAAAGCACUUUAAGUUGGGAGGAAGGGCAGUAAGUUAAUACCUUGCUGUUUUGACGUUACCGGCAGAAUAAGCACCGGCUAACUUCGUGCCAGCAGCCGCGGUAAUACGAAGGGUGCAAGCGUUAAUCGGAAUUACUGGGCGUAAAGCGCGCGUAGGUGGUUCGUUAAGUUGGAUGUGAAAGCCCCGGGCUCAACCUGGGAACUGCAUCCAAAACUGGCGAGCUAGAGUAUGGCAGAGGGUGGUGGAAUUUCCUGUGUAGCGGUGGAAUGCGUAGAUAUAGGAAGGAACACCAGUGGCGAAGGCGACCACCUGGGCUAAUAC